rnacentral:rRNA from 1 species
AUGAGGAUGAAGUCAGGGAUGCACGAUUUUACCUGGGUUGAGGCCCCCAUGUGGAUCUACAUAUUUUGCCACAAGGUCGAUGCAGAGCGCUUCUUUGCAUCGUGGUGUUCUACUGUGGUAUGCAAGAUGAGGAACCUCGACAUAACUCCUAACCACAGAGAAAUAAGGCAUAGCUUCCUUAAUCUUGAUGAACCCGCACUCAUCCACGCAACCUUUCCUAUCUGCUCCAGUUUCCAUAAGCCACACAUGCCGGAAGGGAAGGUACCACAUGUGAGUAAAAGGCCUCGGAGGCACCCAUGCUUCGGAUGUGGCCUUGAGCACAGAUCUAAGGAGGAGGAGUACUUCCACGCUAGGUUCAUGGAUUUGUCUUUGCCCGAUGAUGACGAACAUGAGGAUAAAACAACGAUGAUGAGGGCGAUACUUAAAGAAAUGGAAUGUGAGGAGGAGCAUGUUCUCAACUUUAAGGGUUCAAUAAAUGGACAUCGAGUGUUGAAUGAACAAGGCACGGGAGCAUAUGAAUAUUACAAAAUCACGAACACCGUCGCCGUUAAAUCGAAGCUGCCAGCAGAGCGCGUUCACAAGUGUAAAGUGUUCAUCCAUGUGCCCAACAAGUCACGCAUGAGCAUAAACAAUAUGGGGGUGCUGCCAAGAUCGCCUAUGAGCGCGUGUUUGGUCCUCAUUUGGGACACGCUCCGCAUCAACGUGCAGGACCGUCUAACUGAUGAUACGACCCUUGAAUGGUGGUUGAGAGAGAUAAAACAAUUCCACAAGGAUGACAAGCGAGGGUUUGACACGUUGCUCAUUGCGGGCAUGUGGGCUCUUUGGAAGCAACGUAAUGCUAGGGUCUUUAACCGAGUCGAUCAACAAAAGGAUGCUAGGGAGCUUGCCACUAUGAUCCUUGGUGAGGUAGCCGAGUGGAGGCAAGCAGGUGGUGGUGUUGAUGGCCUACAACGAUUUGUCAUCUCUGCUGCAACUGCUAGUCGUGGCAGUAGCCGCGGCUCAGUUUCUCGGAUCGAAAGCCGGCGGCAUUUCCAUCUACUGGGGUCAGAAUGGUGGAGAGGGCACGCUGGCUGCAACCCGCGCCACUGGCACUACAAAUUUGUCAACAUCGCCUUCCUUUCCUCCUUCGGCAAUGGCCAGCCUCCAGUCCUCAACCUGGCAGGCCACUGCGUCCCAACCAACGGCAGGUGCGCUAGUCUAAGCUCGGACAUCAAGUCAUGCCAGAGCAACGGCGUCAAGGUCAUGCUCUCCAUCGGUGGCGGGGCAGGCGGCUAUUACCUUUCCUUGUCUCAGGAUGCCAAGAAUGUCGCGACGUACCUGUGGAACAACUUCUUAGGAGGUACGUCAUCUUCGCGGCCUCUCGGUGAUGCAGUCCUCGACGGCAUCGACUUCGAUAUUGAGGGUGGUACACCCCUGCACUGGGAUGAUCUUGCAAGGUUCCUAAAAGGGUAUAGCAACUCCGGCAGGAGAGUGUACUUGACUGCUGCGCCACAAUGCCCUUUCCCUGAUGCUUGGGUGGGAGGUGCCCUCAACACCGGCCUCUUUGACUAUGUGUGGGUGCAAUUAUACAACAACGCUCCUUGCCAAUAUACUUCAGGAAGCACUUCCAAUCUAGCUGAUUCAUGGAAGCAGUGGUUGGCAGUUCCUGCAAAGCAGAUCUUCCUCGGUCUCCCGGCGUCACCUCAGGCUGCUGGGAGCGGGUUCAUCCCGGCCGAUGACCUAAAGUCGGAUGUUCUCCCAAUGAUCAAGAGUGCGGGGAAGUAUGGUGGGAUCAUGUUGUGGUCCAAGUAUUAUGAUGACCAGGAUGGCUAUAGCUCUUCGGUGAAGAGUGAUGUUUGA